GACAGAGGAUGCAAGCGUUUAUCCGGAAUCAUUGGGUUUAAAGGGUCCGUAGGCGGUUUAAUAAGUCAGUGGUGAAAGCCCAUCGCUCAACGGUGGAACGGCCAUUGAUACUGUUAAACUUGAAUUAUUAGGAAGUAACUAGAAUAUGUAGUGUAGCGGUGAAAUGCUUAGAGAUUACAUGGAAUACCAAUUGCGAAGGCAGGUUACUACUAAUGGAUUGACGCUGAUGGACGAAAGCGUGGGUAGCGAACAGG
rnacentral:rRNA from 1 species